AGGCUCCUCGGUGCAAAUGCUGUCCUUGCCAGGGACACGGCUGCGCGGUCAGAGCCUGAUGCCCGGGGGCCUCCCCCAGAACACCGGAGGGAGCGGGCUGACCCUACCUGAUGAAAUGAGGUCUCCAGGUCACCUGGUGACCAACGGUGACCCCAGAUUUGAAGGAGGGAAGAUAACUGCCAUGAUGGGGAAACAGACUCAGAGAGGUUCCCGAGGCGGCCCAGCAUCACACAGCAGAGCGGAGGUUUGAAGGACCCAUCCCCUCAAGACACUGUAAAUAUCUCUUCGGUCUUUCGAUGGCUGGUCUCAGAAGCAUUUCUGGUUUUAAUCUUUUGCCUUGUAAGUGUGCACCAGAUGUGAAGCCGGCUUUCAUCAUUUAGGACCUGAUGAAUUAUUUUGUACUCCAGGACCACUGGGAGAUGGGACAUGAAAACAGUUUUCUACCCCACCCCCAUGUCAUACAACAGAGAAUGGCUUGUUCUCCUUUUCACUCAUCAAGCCAUCAGUGACUGUGAUGAGGUUUGGGUCAGAAGUUUUUCAUCCAACCAUCCAACUCUGAAAUGGUCAGACUUGAGGGCUGCAAAGGCUCAGGGUCAAAGUCCUCCUGGAGCGAGUAAUUCUUUAUGAUACUGUGACUAAGUCAGGAGACAGGAGCCUGCGAGUGACCCCUGGACUGGGCUGGAUGAAGAGGACACUGCUUGCCUUCUGUGAGUGGGGGCCCCGAGCAUCAGGACAUCACUGGAUGGUCCUGGAUAAAUCCCAGCCACCCUCAGCCCAGCUCUGGGCCAUGGCUGCAGGAUUUAGAGGCAGUAACCACCCUGGGAAGGAGAA